rnacentral:rRNA from 1 species
AUGCACGCUGGCGGCGUGCCUAAUCCAUGCCAGUCGAGCGAACGGACGAGAAGCUUGCUUCUCUGAUGUUAGCGGCGGACGGGUGAGUAACACGUGGAUAACCUACCUAUAAGACUGGGAUAACUUCGGGAAACCGGAGCUAAUACCGGAUAAUAUUUUGAACCGCAUGGUUCAAAAGUGAAAGACGGUCUUGCUGUCACUUAUAGAUGGAUCCGCGCUGCAUUAGCUAGUUGGUAAGGUAACGGCUUACCAAGGCAACGAUGCAUAGCCGACCUGAGAGGGUGAUCGGCGACACUGGAACUGAGACACGGUCCAGACUCCUACGGGAGGCAGCAGUAGGGAAUCUUCCGCAAUGGGCGAAAGCCUGACGGAGCAACGCCGCGUGAGUGAUGAAGGUCUUCGGAUCGUAAAACUCUGUUAUUAGGGAAGAACAUAUGUGUAAGUAACUGUGCACAUCUUGACGGUACCUAAUCAGAAAGCCACGGCUAACUACGUG